CUCCGACUCCAAGACCUUUAGAGUCAUGCCUCACAAAAACUGGUCUCACUGCUAAUGCCUGCUGAGGCUAACUGAGUAGAAGGCAGAAUUUUAUUCUUGUGACAGUCAUUAUUUCUCGGACAUGUUGUAAACAUUCAACCCGUGAACAACUCUCCUUAUAAUCUGUUUUUCCAGGAAGGCAUGAAGUUGAGAAGUGUGUUAUUAUUAAACUGCACACUUUCUCCUCCAUUGGGACUGGAUGUGACCUCAGUGGGAGCAAUAUCCAGCCUGGCUCUGUAGAAAACAAUGGCUUCAUCGAGAGGUGACCACAUGGCUGCCAGACUAGAAGACUGAGAGCUCUCUUCAGCCAUUGUCUAAGCCGUGAGAGGACCCUGAGGGAGGACAGAAACUGCCUGGUUCCCGGGGUCUAUGAAGAUCAUUUGAAGGACCACACCGAGGGAAGGUGGGCAUUAGGAUACAGAUGAAGAGACAGGAGUCUCCUGGGCUGGCAAGACAAGACUCAGAAGACACCGAACACAGAGGUGACUAGAGUUUAAUAACUCUCACGGAAUCUCAUCAAAUAUUAAACGAUCAAAUAUUGAACCACAGUUUCCUGUCAAGAAACUCUCGAUACAGAAGCUUCCUACCCUUCCCCAGGCCUGCUACUUGGGCAAAUAUCAUGGAGCUGGGGAAUCUGUAUGGCUCAGAUGUAGGAGCUGUGAUCCAGUCCAUCUGUGUGUGGAACCCCAGGGAGCUGGGCAGCCUCUGCUUCCAGGCUAGUGUGUGGACAUGGUGAUGGAUUAGCAAUGACAUCAGUGUCUCAUCUGAAGGUUGUCAGUCUCAAGGCAGGUCUCAAAGAUUAGACACACAGUGAGAAAUGGCUCUAGAGCUCAGAAAGGCUGAGGGAUGGAGGCUAUCUGUGACCCCGCCCCUCCCUUAAAACCACACUCAUCACUGAAGGCAGCUACAGAAAGCACUCAGUAUGUACUUCAAGCCAGAAGUCUGAUGACAUAAGCAGUUUUGGACCACAGAGGACAGGGGCAUGAACCCACAACACACUUGUUCCCUGAUCCACAUAACUGGCUAGUGACUUGGGGUACCCACUCUCUCCAUGUAGUUUGAUUACUUUUGAUUUCAUCUAUAGUGAGUGGCAUUGAAAGUUGUGUACUUGGUCCCAACCAGUACUUGAGUCAGAGACGAAGUCCUGACCACCCUCUACCUCACUGUCCUCUGCAUGCUUGAGACUCAGGAGUACUCUGUUGUCUUCUGCAAGGAUGAGAAGACUAUGCCCACCCCACUGUCUCCUCUUCAUGACUGACACUGUUCUCUGUAGAGGCUGAGACACAAGCUUACCCCAUUGUUCUCUGCAAAACCAAGGUCCAUUCCUCCCCACGGUCCUCUGCAUGGUUGAGACCCUUGUCUGUGUGAGUAAGUGGGUCUGUGUUACUAGGGACCCUAGAGCUGUCCUUCCCACUUCUGCCUUUAUGUUUUCUUUUCCCCUAACAUUUACACCGGAAGUAAGAGUUCUCAUUGCAACUGGAAUGAGGUGCGUAUACCAAUCUUCUCCAAUUGUUGGCUCCUUUUUCAACCUCCAGUGAAGAUGGCUGUAGCUGUGCAAUAUCACGACCAACAUAUUCUCUCUUGCCCUCCCACCUGCUGUGUUCAUAACCAGUGUCAACUACAGUCCCCUACCAUGCUGGACUUUUCCUCCCUUGACUGGAGAGAGAGAUUCCCAACUUGGAUCAGUGGUCACCAUGGACUCUGAGUCUAGAGUAGUGAGGCACAUUCUCACCUUAGGUCACUGGCCACAUUAAACUCUGACUCAUAUGGAAGGUGAGGUAGGUUUCCACCUUGGGUCACUGGCCUUGCCUGACUCCAUCUUCCAUGAAUGAUGAGACACACCCCUAUCUCAGGUCUCUGUCUUCUCCCUGGAAAUACCCACAGGCCCAGAUUCCUGUGCUCAACUGUCACCUUUGUAGUGAGUUCCAUCAAGACUACACACACUAUCUGAGCCUUCUGCCUCCCAUCAUAUACACUCACAUGAGCUCGCUUGGUCCUACCACUCCGGGAGCUUUCCCCAUGCCCUUUGGCUUCAGGAUUCUCUGUACUCUAUAUGGAUUGUUCUUAAGUUCAGGGCCUGUGGCCUUUGUUAGAGUCAGUGACUUUGAUGGCUGAGAUUUGUCUCUGUUCAUGACAUGUUCAGAGCACCCUAGACUUUGUGUGAUAAACAGGGAUUUCCAGUAGUCAGAACACUGUGACACACAGAAACUGAGUGGAAACCUGCAGCUGCUCCUCUUUAUCAGGGAAGAUUUGCUCUGCUUGCAUCAAAGUCUCUGAGCUUCUAGCCUGGUGUGGUAGUUUCACUAAGGAUGGCCCCCACGGACUCAUGGUUUUGGUUGUUUGACCCAUAGGGAAUGGCACUAUUAGGAGGUGUGACUUGGUAGAGAAGGUUCCUCGUUGGAGGAAGUGUGUCACCGGGAGUGGGCUUGAGGUCUUAUAAGCUCAAGUUACGCCCUGCGUGCCACAGAGUCUCCUUCUCCUGCCCAUGGAUAAAGACAUAGAACUCUUAGCUCCU